UACGGAGGAUGCAAGCGUUAUCCGGAAUGCUUGGGCGUAAAGCGUCCGCAGGUGGCUAUGUAAGUCUGCUGUUAAAGAGCAAAGCUUAACUUUGUAAAAGCAAUGGAAACUACAUAGCUAGAGUGCGUUCGGGGCAGAGGGAAUUCCUGGUGUAGCGGUGAAAUGCGUAGAGAUCAGGAAGAACACCCGUGGCGCAAGCGGCCACCUGGCUGCCAACUGACGCUGAGGCACGAGAGCGUGGGGAGCGAACCGG
rnacentral:rRNA from 1 species